rnacentral:lncRNA from 1 species
UUUUACUCUUUUAGGUAUAUGGCUAUGGGGAAACUUCAAAUUUCGUUGCUCACAUUUGUGGCUACAAUUAUGUUUCCACUGGGCAGCACUUAUCUAAAUACUUAAAUACAGGAAGAAAGGAGGAAAAGAGUGGAGGAGAGGAAGGGAGGUGAGGGGGAAGGAAAGAAGGAAGGGGAUAAAAAGGAUCUUCAACAACUAAAAGAUACAAGCCUUAAAAGAUCAGAGAGUGGAACAACCCUCCCUCCACAUACACCAAUGACGAAAAAGGUCUGGGAGCCUGAGAUGCUGUGCUUCCAGCACCACGCCAGCCAGUUAGCA